rnacentral:rRNA from 1 species
GACGAACGCUGGCGGCGUGCCUAAUACAUGCAAGUCGAACGAAGUGGGGACGGGUGAGUAACACGUGGGUAACCUCCCAUCAGAGGGGAUAACACUUGGAAACAGGUGCUAAACCGAAAUUGAUGGAUGGACCCGGGGUGCAUUAGCUAGUUGGUGAGGUAACGGCUAACCAAGGCAACGAUGCAUAGCCGACCAGAGAGGGUGAGCGGCCACAUUGGAACGGAGACACGGCCCAAACUCCUACGGGAGGCAGCAGUGAGGAAUAGUGGUCAAUGGGCGCUAGCCUGACCCAGCCAAGUAGCGUGAAGGAUGAAGCUCUAUGGGUCGUAAACUUCUUUUAUAUAAGAAGAUGUAUUAUAUGAAUAAGGAUCGGCUAACUCCGUGCCAGCAGCCGCGGUAAUAC